rnacentral:rRNA from 1 species
GACGAACGCUGGCGGCGUGCCUAAUACAUGCAAGUAGAACGCUGAAGGAAGGAGCUUGCUCUUUCUGGAUGAGUUGCGAACGGGUGAGUAACGCGUAGGUAACCUGCCUGGUAGCGGGGGAUAACUAUUGGAAACGAUAGCUAAUACCGCAUAAAAUUGAUUAUUGCAUGAUAGUCAAUUAAAAGGUGCAACUGCACCACUACCAGAUGGACCUGCGUUGUAUUAGCUAGUUGGUGGGGUAACGGCUCACCAAGGCGACGAUACAUAGCCGACCUGUGAGGGUGGUCGGCCACACUGGGACUGAGACACGGCCCAGACUCCUACGGGAGGCAGCAGUAGGGAAUCUUCGGCAAUGGACGGAAGUCUGACCGAGCAACGCCGCGGGAGUGAAGAAGGUUGUCGGAUCGUAAAGCUCUGUUGUAAGAGAAGAACGAGUGUGAGAGUGGAAAGUUCACACUGUGACGGUAUCUUACCAGAAAGGGACGGCUAACUACGUG